GGAUCUCGCAGGCGAGCGGCAGCCUAUCCGGCUUUUACCCGGGGAGUCUCGGUUCGAGCCCGAGGAGAUCUAC
rnacentral:tRNA from 1 species